CAUCAAAUCGGCCCAAUAAGACUAGCUCAAGGAAUAUAAUUUACCAAGCUUCCAAUUUUAACCCUGACGUCAAGUCUUGCCGUUUAUUUGGUCCGUUACGCUUCAGAUGGAGAGGGGAAGGACUGUAGAUCUCUAUUCAUUUCUCACCCAUCAUCUGACCUUCUUCUCCGUCAUAUCAAUGGGCUGCCUUUUUACUUCACGGGAGGCACGAAGAGAUAUGUGCUCCUCGAUGAUCUCUUUGUCGCGUUGCACAUGACUUGUACAAUAUGCUUCACAUCCUCCAAGCUGUCAACGAAGUUCCUUGGCAAAAACUGCAGCAGCCGUGAGUACUGGCUCGACGGCCGAGCGAUUUCAAACUCGAUGGUAAAGUGCAGGUCCACGAAGUACCAGCUCUGCCACAAGGAGGAGCCGGAUUGGACGGGAACGACGUUGAUGAACUCGUAGCUCCUGGAGGUGAUUUUGCCGAAGGAGGAGCCGGAUUUGACGGCAACGACGUUCAGACGCUGACCUGCAUCUUCUAAGCGGCGACACUUACACACCCAGCAUUUCUCCCCAAAACCCAGUCUCCCAGCUCCAUUCAAGUGUUCCCUAGCUGAAGCAGCAGCAACUGAUACUUUCCCCCCAAAUGAUCAGUAACAAUUAGAGGACGAUCCACCGGGUGCCAUUGGAUACACCAUAGCCCUACAAUUGCAAGUUUCUUUGGAAUUUUACCAUCUCCUUCGUCCCCAAUAUGGAUUCGUAGGUCAUCCCCUUCCUCUAGAAGAUUAUAAAUCCACUGUGGAUAGUAAAUUUCAUUUAUGGUGUUCUCUAUGGUUGAACCAAUAUUCUUCCUUCCUCCUACCA